rnacentral:rRNA from 1 species
UACGUAGGGGGCGAGCGUUAUCCGGAUUUACUGGGUGUAAAGAGCGCGUAGGCGGUUCCGUAAGUUGGUUGUGAAAGUUCGAGGCUCAACCUCGAAACUGCGUCCAAUACUGCGGGGCUGGAGUGCAAGAGAGGCAAGUGGAAUUUGCAGUGUAGUAGUGAAAUGCGUAGAUAUUGCAAGGAACACCAGUGGCGAAGGCGGCUUGCUAGCUUGUAACUGACGCUGAGGCGCGAAAGCUAGGGGAG